rnacentral:rRNA from 1 species
AUUGAACGCUGGCGGCAUGCCUAACACAUGCAAGUCGCACGCGAAAGGGGGCAACCCUGAGUAGAGUGGCGGACGGGUGAGUAACGCGUAGGAAUCUACCUGGUAGUGGGGGACAACCCGGCGAAAGCCGGGCUAAUACCGCAUACGAUCCACGGAUGAAAGCAGGGGACCGCAAGGCCUUGCGCUAUCAGAUGAGCCUGCGUCGGAUUAGCUAGUUGGUGGGGUAAAGGCCCACCAAGGCGACGAUCCGUAGCUGGUUUGAGAGAACGACCAGCCACACCGGAACUGAGACACGGUCCGGACUCCUACGGGUGGCAG